AGAGUUUGAUCAUGGCUCAGGAUGAACGCUGGCGGCGCGCCUAAUACAUGCAAGUCGAACGCUUUGUCUUUAAUUGAUCUGACGAGCUUGCUCUGAUGUGAUUUUAUCUGACAAAGAGUGGCGCACGGGUGAGUAACACGUGGGUAACCUACCUCUUAGCAGGGGAUAACACUUGGAAACAAGUGCUAAUACCGUAUAAUACCAACAACCGCAUGGUUGUUGGUUGAAAGAUGGUUCUGCUAUCACUAAGAGAUGGACCCGCGGUGCAUUAGCUAGUUGGUAAGGUAACGGCUUACCAAGGCAAUGAUGCAUAGCCGAGUUGAGAGACUGAUCGGCCACAAUGGGACUGAGACACGGCCCAUACUCCUACGGGAGGCAGCAGUAGGGAAUCUUCCACAAUGGGCGCAAGCCUGAUGGAGCAACGCCGCGUGUGUGAUGAAGGGUUUCGGCUCGUAAAACACUGUUAUAAGAGAAGAACGGCACUGAGAGUAACUGUUCAGUGUGUGACGGUAUCUUACCAGAAAGGAACGGCUAAAUACGUGCCAGCAGCCGCGGUAAUACGUAUGUUCCAAGCGUUAUCCGGAUUUAUUGGGCGUAAAGCGAGCGCAGACGGUUAUUUAAGUCUGAAGUGAAAGCCCUCAGCUCAACUGAGGAAUGGCUUUGGAAACUGGAUGACUUGAGUGCAGUAGAGGAAAGUGGAACUCCAUGUGUAGCGGUGAAAUGCGUAGAUAUAUGGAAGAACACCAGUGGCGAAGGCGGCUUUCUGGACUGUAACUGACGUUGAGGCUCGAGAGUGUGGGUAGCAAACAGGAUUAGAUACCCUGGUAGUCCACACCGUAAACGAUGAGUGCUAGAUGUUCGAGGGUUUCCGC
rnacentral:rRNA from 1 species